rnacentral:rRNA from 1 species
CUCGUAGGCGGUUUGUCGCGUCUGCUGUGAAAUCCGGAGGCUCAACCUCCGGCCUGCAGUGGGUACGGGCAGACUAGAGUGCGGUAGGGGAGAUUGGAAUUCCUGGUGUAGCGGUGGAAUGCGCAGAUAUCAGGAGGAACACCGGUGGCGAAGGCGGGUCUCUGGGCAGUAACUGACGCUGAGGAGCGAAAGCGUGGGGAGCGAACA